UACGUAGGGUGCAAGCGUUAAUCGGAAUUACUGGGCGUAAAGCGUGCGCAGGCGGUUUUGUAAGUCUGACGUGAAAUCCCCGGGCUCAACCUGGGAAUUGCGUUGGAGACUGCAAGGCUAGAAUCUGGCAGAGGGGGGUAGAAUUCCACGUGUAGCAGUGAAAUGCGUAGAGAUGUGGAGGAACACCGAUGGCGAAGGCAGCACCCUGGGUCAAGAUUGACGCUCAUGCACGAAAGCGUGGGGAGCAAACAGG
rnacentral:rRNA from 1 species